CGUAGGGGGCAAGCGUUAUCCGGAUUUAUUGGGCAUAAAGCGCAUGUAGGCGGUAGUUUAAGUCAGAUGUUAAAUCCUUCAGCUUAACUGAAGUCAGCAUCUGAUACUGAAUUACUAGAGAUCAGGAGAGGAAAGCGGAACUCACGGUGUAGCGGUGAAAUGCGUAGAUAUCGUGAGGAACACCAGUUGCGAAGGCGGCUUUCUGGACUGAAUCUGACGCUGAGAUGCGAAAGCGUGGGGAGCAAACGGGAUUAGAUACCCCGGUAGUCCACGCUGUAAACGGUGUUCACUAGGUGUAGGAGGUAUCGACCCCUUCUGUGCCACAGAUAAUUCGUUAAGUGAACCGCCUGGGGAGUACGACCGCAAGGUUA
rnacentral:rRNA from 1 species